rnacentral:rRNA from 1 species
GAUUGUAGGCUGAAACUCGCCUAUAUGAAGUCGGAAUUGCUAGUAAUCGCGGAUCAGCAUGCCGCGGUGAAUACGUUCCCGGGCCUUGUACACACCGCCCGUCACACCAUGAGAGUCGAUAACACCCGAAGCCUGUAGUCUAACCAUAUGGGGGACGCAGUCGAAGGUGGGAUUGAUAAUUAGGGUGAAGUCGUAACAAGGUACC